AUUGUGCUGUGUAAUCGUUGCUACUAUGUGUCGUGCAGUGUUACAUAUUUAUGUGUAGAUUGAUGUAGCAGCGACACUUAUGUUCCUCUAGCAAAUUAUGGGUUGUUUUGAAUGAAGAAUUUAGAAAGAAGAACGUGUAUUAUCUCGGACGAUAUUGUGUGUUGUUGGACGAGAAGCAACUAAGUUCUCAAGUCUACGGAAAAACGUAAGCAAUAUUAUAAGGUAUUGCAAAAUUGAAAUGGAGAAAUCAGCGACUAUAUUUUGAUACUAUAUCUCAUAGUUUAACGUGGUUCUAUAAGUUUAGCAUAAAAGAAAAAUCUUCCUGAUAACUAAAUCUGUGCGCACUAUGACGUAAAAAUAAGAAAGCUACGAAACUAUACUGCUAAUCUGAUAUUAGGGAAUUCACAAAUUUCAUAGACGUCAAGCUCGAUCUCGAUAUGUAAGCAAAUGCACUAGCAAAUCACGAUUUGCAAUUUUUUUCACGAUUACAUCGUCGCUCAAUUCAAAGUUCGCGCGUUCCCAGUCUUGUGCUGCAGGCGGCAACUUUUUACGAAAUUCUCAUUCUGACUUUUUCAAUGAUCUCGGGCGCAUGCGUGGACGCGCCACACACUGUUCGCGAAUCGUUACUGCAUGGGACUGCAGAAAGCAACAUGUGCGAUAUGGGCGGGGCAGCACGCCGCUUUAUAUUGGGGGUUUUCCCCGACAGCUAUAUUUGCGCGAACGUCCGGUUAGCCUAUUUAACCUAAAAGUUUGCCAAAUCUCUGUGAGUUUGUGUUAAAUUUGAAAAUGAGACAUUCUCAAGCGCCUGGUGUUGACCAAAAUUCCGCAGACAUUGCAAAAGAAAACGGUAAUGAUACAAGAAGUAAAUCUACACAACAAAGCCAUGAUAUUACUAUGCGAGAUCCUCAUACUUUUAACGCUGCCUUUCAAAAUUCAAAGGACGUAACAAUCAAGGCGAAGAACCAAAAAAUCGAUGUUCAUUCAUACAGAAUUUUGUUUAUACCUUAUUUCAUCGAGAUUUUCGCAACAGAUGACUACAAAAAUAUGAAAACCAAAAUCAUAAUAAUAAAAGAAGAUAUUGAUUUAAAAGUCAUGCCAAAUAUUAUUGAAUACACUAACUCAAAAGAAUUACAUCUGACUAAAAAAAAUGUAUUUAAUACAUUAAAAGCUGCCAAAGUUCUAAAAGUAGAUAAUCUAGUUACUGAUUGUUAUGAUUUUAUAGGACAAUUGAUGCAAGUAGAUUUUAAAGGCGUAUCGCAGACGAAUGUUUUUAUUGAUCUCGACAUUGAAUCUUUGGAAAAUUUAUUUUCAAAUCCAAAAUUACGCGUAAAUACAAAGUCAAUUUACAAUUUUAUAAUAAAAUGGGUUACUCACGACUAUAGCAACCGAAAAAAUAAAUUAGGAAAAUUACUUGGUCUGAUUAAAGAAUUACCUGCUGAUUUCAUAAAUCGUUCUUUAUAUGAAAAAGACAUUUUUCGUGAUCUUGAUUUUAAAUCAUUGAGAAGCGUACUGUCAAUUUACGCAUUAAACAAUAAUACAGCGAUUAUUUUUAAUGGUAUUAUGAAAUGGGUCACGAUAGACUAUGAAAACAGAGAGACUGAUCUAGCGAAGUUACUAGAUUUGAUUGAUAUGAGUAAUUUAAGCGCUGAUUACAUAAAUCGUUAUUUGUAUCACGAAGAGAACAAUUGUAUCGGCCAUUAUUUUCGACCUUUAGCUUAUGAAUUGCAUUCAAGACACUUCCAAUCAACGAUUAACAAGACUGAGGAUAAACAAAUUAUUGUGAUAGCGACAGUUCAAGCGAAGUCGACUUCGAUUGUAGAAUACGAUCCCAAAAGAAACGAGUGGUCUGUUGUCAGAAAAGAAAAUUACGGCGAUUUUUAUUUAGUUAUUGUUAACGAAGAUAAAUUCUACAAAUUUCAACGACCGAGGAAAAAAAAUCAGGAGCUAUCGGCAGUCGUCAAAGUUUACGAUUUCAAAACUAAAAUUUGGGAAAAGUUGUGCAAGAUGAACAUUGCACGAAAGUUUUGCGGUGCAGUUUUUGUUGAAGGCUUUUUGUACGCAUUUGGCGGUUAUGAUAUUGACAACAAAAUUAUUAAUAGUGUUGAAAGAUAUUCUUUGGAAAGUAAACAAUGGGAAGUUAUGUCACCCAUGAUAGAGGAGCGUUGCGCUCCUGCUGUCAUAGUUUUUGACGAUCACAUCUACGUAAUAGGCGGACGGGGACGUGGAAGCGACUCAGAAGAUGUUUAUUUGGAUACGGUUUGCGAAACAUAAAUGAUGUUACAGAUUGAAGUGUAUGAUAUUAAAACGAACAAGUGGUCGAAGUUUGAAGAAAGAAUGGAAAAUAAGCGUUCGACUUGUGCAGCAGCAGUGUUGAACGAAAAAAUUUACGUUUGUGGCGGAUGGUAUAAUGAAAAAGCUCUAAAUUUUGUGGAAAUGUUUGAUACCAAACUUAAAAGGUGGAAAACUGUAAAACCUAUGAAUAAAGCGAGGGAACAGUUUUUGGUUGUUGAAAUUCAUGGAAAACUUUGGGCUAUUGGUGGAUGUUCUAAGGAAGAACAACUAGAUGCUACUUCUGAUUCGUCAGUAGAGGUGUACGAUUUCUAUAAAAAUAGUUGGUCAUACGUAAAUACGAAAUGUAAGUUGAAGACGAAUCCAAUGUAUAUUACUGGUUGUUUAAUUAAAAAAAAAUAUUACUGAAGGUAUUGAAUAAAAGCGAGAAAGUAUACCAAGAUCGUUCUACCAAAUGAAUCUUAGCUUUAAUGGUCAAUAGACUAUGCAAAUUCAGCUGGGAACAAAAUGAAGGCCCUAUUUAAUGCAUCUAAAGUGAAUGGAAAGUUCCUCAUUUCAAAAAUAGUUAUGUACAAAUCAAAAUGCUCAACUUGACAUUUAGUCUACAUACAUAAAAAAAGCCUUUACCUGUACUUUUCAAAAAUUGCACAGCGUGCAACAAGGAAAGGAUGGCAACUUCUCUUCUGGUUACAAAAUAUACUAUUUCUUUGUAUACUACUUCACUUAUUUCUUCAAGUUUUUCGAAACAUUAUUCCAUUUCUAAAGAAAGGAUAAGAGUGAGGAUAAUAGGAUUGAGUACUACUUCCUCAUAAAGGUGGUGGAAGGCUACUGGCUAUUGGGCCCGAGAGGCUGUUAGUGGUGAAGAAACAAGAAAACAAACAUUAAUUUUCUUGUCAUGCAAUCCAUUCAACUAUUUGUUUUAUAAAUCUACAUGGAAUACUUUUCGGCAGAGCUUUUAUGAGAUGUGCCGUUCACACGGAUGACAGGAAAGUGAAGUACGACAGGGAUGCUUUGAGAAUCUGAAAAAGGAAGAGAUCCGUGCUCGUUAGUCGACCGUACAAUAACAGUUUUCUUUUUUCCAAAAUCGCACCGUUGCAUAGUUUUCCAUUCCCAGAACGUAAAGUCCACCACCAGUCAAGCAACUCGGCUUCUGACUCCGCAGCAUCAUGAAGCUCAAAAGCUUCUUGCACUCGUCGGUUAUGCCCUCCCUGUACCACUCGCAGUCAUAGCUAGAGUCAAAUGUUGAUUGAAUUUAUAAACAAAUUCAAAACGGGGCAUGAUCAGAGGAGGUUCAAUCAUUUUUGUGGAAAUUACGAACGGUUUAUUGCAAAUUCUUACCACGACUGAUGAACCCUCAAGCUGUGAUCCUUGAUCCUUUGUCCAGGAUAGUUAUGAAAGAGAAUAUGGAGUAGCUCAACAAUCGUGAUGAUUGCGAACCUGAUCCCCAAUGCGCGGUUAUCCUUAUGCUGCACAGUCUGCGUGAGAAAAAAAAUCUCCAUCGUAAGUAUAUACAUCUCAAUCAGCUGGAUGCAAGUUACACAAAAUUACGUACUUCAAAUUCUACCAAUGUUAUAAAGCCUAAUGUUAUGCCGAUGACGAGGAGGUUAGUCACUGCAUAAGUCGACUCUACGAGAUCCGCGAAUCUGUGACGAGGAAUAAGUAUGAGAAAACAGACAGUUAUAGGACAGUACAGGAAUUAGAAAGGACGAUACUCAACUCUAUGGCGUGCUUGUGCUUGAUAAUGACCUUGACGACCUCUUGGUAGAACACAUCUCGAGAAUUAGCAUCCUUUGCGGCAUGUGAAGUGACUUCGAUCUCAUGCUUGUCGAUGGUAUCUUUCAGCUCAUUUCUGUGAAAGUCGUGUGAAUAUAUUUUACUAACUAAUGCGACACUGCAGAAAUAGACUAUACGAUUGAUAUGUCUCAUAUUAGAUGCCAUUUUAUAUCGGCCUUUUUCUACCAGGGAUAAAUUUUCGGUUAUUAUACGCGACGAAAUUCACCUCACGACUUGAAAUAGGGCACAAGCAUGCUGUGUAUAACUUAGCAGCAGCGAGUCAAAGCCUACAACGACCAUCAUGCCGAGAAUGUUGAAUACGUAGCCGUGCAGCGUCGUAACGAAAUAAUUGUUCUCAAUCCGCUUGAUGUUGUAUUUCAUAUGUUUAGUUAUGAUACGUGGUCGUGUCUCAUUCAGAGGUACGAGAAAAUCCAGGAACAACGGCAUGAACGCCAACGUGUUGUAUGCCACUAUUGUACCCAUGAAGUAAUCUGAGAAAGAAUAACAAACGCAACAACUUUCUUCACAAGUGGUAGAAAGAUAGACACGAUAUAGGUGCCCUUUUUAGAAGAAAAGAAAACAGUUACGCACAGACAUAGACACGAUUAACUUUACGUGCUUGUUCAGCGUACUUGUUAAGAAUCCUCAAGCUCUCGCCUGUAUAAAUUUCGAAAUCAUUCUUGAUUUGUUUAAACAAUUCUUUGCACUGCAAUAAAUAUAGUUUGUCAGUAAAAAAAUGGGCAUCAUCUCUAAAAUUGCAAAAACAUGAAUCUAAAUUAAGUAACUUUAUCUUCGUUGAGUAUCAUACAGGCCAUUUUUAGCAUCACGUGGAUGUAAAAAAUAACGCUAGGAAUACAGAUAAAAAAGUAUUGGAAAUUAUUACGUACUUCAUAUGCUUUGCAAACCUGAAAAGACAAAAAUAUUAUUUUCAAAGCGCGAGUGAUGCAAACAUUGUACGAACACACUCACGUGAGGAAUAAAAACCGAAUUGCAGCCCAAAUAUAUUAACGUACGAAGCAGCACCUUUUUUUUAUAGCUCUGUAAUGGCCACAUCCCAAAGGGGCUCAAGUUGUUUUUGCUGUAAACGUAGUAGGGUCCGUCAAGCACGUUGUCUUUCAUCUUCAUAGUUUGAUUAGCUGCAGUUUUUUUCUCGAGGAUUACAUGCGACAAAGCAUGCUUCCAAUAAAUUUACAUCAAAUAACGCGGAAUUCGAAGAAGAAUAACACCAAAAUCAAGCCGUAAUUUUAUCUACUAAUCUUUGCCUUGUGUGCAUCUGCAAAACUUGAAAAAACAACUGUCGUUGGAAAGGCCGAGGCGGCGAGUAGAAUCCCUGAUAGAGAAUCGACCACGAAGCGCCUUUUUUUUAUUCACGAAGCGAUAAUUGUCUUUACGCGUCGGUACGUGAGAUAUAUACUCAUAAAUUAAUUCACGUUUUAUACUUUUAUAGCUAUAUGUGCAGUUAGUGUUCGGGAAUUCAUGGCAAGGAAAAUGAGGGAAAGUAAAUAAAGAGUACAGUUGGAAAUAACAGUUUUUGCUCGCCGCCGAGAAUUCUAUUAACGCUCGACUGUAAAGUAUAAGGAACCCACUGUUGAGACAUUUUUUGUGACUGUCUAUACAUUUUGUUAUAGACGUUUUAUAAAUAUUACAUUUUAUUUUGUUCUCAGACAACUCUGUUUUUGCUCCAAUUUAUAAGCGUCGUUAAUGGUAUUUUUUAUGUAUGUGUUAUAAAAAUAUAAUUAUUUCAAAAUAGCAUUACAAAAUAAAUAUAUUAUCGAACAAGUAGUUACGUAUUCAGUUUGAGGACACUUUAGCGACUGAUGAUAGGAACGCGAAAUAGGAGAGCGAUGCCUUAAAGAUCUGUAAAUAUAAAAACGCUAAUAGAAUAACCAAAUAAUAAUCAAAUUGAUAUGAGUAA